CGAAAGGGUGAGUAAUGUAUGGAUGACUUACCCUCGAGACGGGGACAACAGCUCGAAAGGGCUGCUAAUACCCGAUAGUUCCGGCGGUCUCCGGAUCGCAGGAUAAAUGGUGAUUCCGCUCGGGGAGAGGUCCAUAUCCUAUCAGCUUGUUGGCGGGGUAAAAGCCCACCAAGGCUCUGACGGGUAGCCGGACUGAGAGGUUGGCCGGCCACACUGGGACUGAGACACUGCCCAG
rnacentral:rRNA from 1 species